ACCUUGAUGGAACUGCCGGUGUUGGACACCUCUGCGUUUUUCUCGGUGGAGUAGUUAAUCUGGAAAGGCUUGGAGCAGAGCUGGUUGUCCACUUGACAGGCCUUGGUACUGAUGUCGAUAGGCGACUGGCGGUUUCCCUUGGCGACGGGGAAGUUCUCGUGCCAGAGGGCGGGUCCUGUGGGAUAAAAAGCAACCAAAGUCAAUGCAAGAUCAUUGAAGGGGUGAGGCUAAUUGAUAAGAAUUUACUUUUUAUAAAGUUGAUUUUCUAAAAAGAGCUAAAAUACAUCAACUCAGGUUAACACUUUUUUUUUCUAAGAAGAGCAUUCUUGAAUUAAUAUACAAGUCCAAAACUAAAAGCUUUCAAUCACUUCCGUUAGAUCCACAUGCAGGUUCUCCAUGUGUCAUUCAUCAAAGGACUCAAUUUGUCUUGCAUAGUAAACAACAGCCAAUGUUGAUAAUUAAAUCAAAUUCUCUUAAAAAUCAAUCACAAUUGCCAUAAAUUACCAUAAAAUUGGUCCCUUUAUACAUAUAAAGACGAAAUGUGAGCGGGGAUUCCCCAGCAGUGGUUUAUGCUGCGCUGCAUUUCUUCCAUGUACAACCCUCUUUCCUUGUGUAAAAUUUACUUUUUUCCCCUAAACAACUCUUGUUAGAUAUUUUAAGAGGUCCAUAUUUCACUUCAAUUCUUUUGUGUAUCUCAUAAGACAUUGUACCAUAAAUUCAUGUACUGUCUCCCUUUAACGCGUAUCUCAUAUAUGAAUACUAAAACGAUGAAUUUU
rnacentral:sRNA from 1 species